ACGGAGGGGGCGAGCGUUGUUCGGAGUGACUGGGCGUAAAGAGCACGUAGGCGGCGUUGUAAGUCAUUAGUCAAAGGCUAGAGCUCAACUUUAGUAAGGCUAGUGAUACUAUAAUGCUAGAGUAUCAGAGAGGAUUGCAGAAUUCCUGGUGUAGCGGUGAAAUGCGUAGAUAUCAGGAGGAAUACCGGUAGCGAAGGCGGCAAUCUGGCUGGAAACUGACGCUGAGGUGCGAAAGCGUGGGUAGCAAACAGG
rnacentral:rRNA from 1 species